UACAGAGGUCCCAAGCGUUGUUCGGAUUCAUUGGGCGUAAAGGGUGCGUAGGUGGCGCUGUAAGUCGGGUGUGAAAUUUCGGAGCUUAACUCCGAAACUGCAUUCGAUACUGCGGUGCUUGAGGACUGGAGAGGAGACUGGAAUUCAUGGUGUAGCAGUGAAAUGCGUAGAGAUCAUGAGGAAGACCAGUGGCGAAGGCGGGUCUCUGGACAGUUCCUGACGCUGUGGCACGAAGGCCAGGGGAGCAAACGGG
rnacentral:rRNA from 1 species